rnacentral:rRNA from 1 species
AUUGAACGCUGGCGGCAGGCCUAACACAUGCAAGUCGAACGAGUGGCGGACGGGUGAGUAAUGUCUGGGAAACUGCCUGAUGGAGGGGGAUAACUACUGGAAACGUUAGCUAAUACCGCAUACCAUCGGAUGUGCCCAGAUGGGAUUAGCUAGUUGGGGGGGUAACGGCUCACCAAGGCGACGAUCCCUAGCUGGUCUGAGAGGAUGACCAGGCACAAUGGAACUUGAGAACGGGCCAGGAUCCUAAGGGAGGGAGCAGUGGGGAAUAUUGCACAAUGGGCGGAAGGCUUAUGCAGCCAUGACGGGGGGAUUGAGAAGGGCUUCGGGUUGUAAAGUACUUUCAGUGGGGAGGCGUUACCCACAGAAGAAGCACCGGCUAACUCCGUGCCAGCAGCCGCGGUAAUAC